UACGUAGGUGGCAAGCGUUGUCCGGAUUUAUUGGGUUUAAAGGGUGCAUAGGCGGCCUAUUAAGUCAGUGCUGAAAUAUCCCGGCUUAACCGGGAGGGUGGCAUUGAUACUGAUGGGCUUGAGUAGAGUUGAGGUUGGCGGAAUUGACGGUGUAGCGGUGAAAUGCUUAGAUAUCGUCAAGAACACCUAUUGCGAAGGCAGCUAACUAAGCUCAAACUGACGCUGAGGCACGAAAGUGUGGGGAUCAAACAGG
rnacentral:rRNA from 1 species